rnacentral:lncRNA from 1 species
CAACAGAGGGGCAGACAGGCCCAGGCUGAGAAAAGGGCCUGGGGCUGCUUGGGGAUGUCAGAAGGGAUUCGGAGGCCUGUGGGAUCCUGACUUGGGACAGAUGAGUUAAAUCUCUUAUGAAGCUUAGUGGACUGAAGUUGAGAAAAGACUUCCUGACCACACCCAACCGUGGACCAGAAUCCCAGUGGCUCCAUGGGAGUGAAUCAGGCAUUCCAAGAAUCCUCGGCCUCAAAGUUCUGAGGCUGCGUGAUGUCAUGGGAAGAGCAUGCGGCUGCCCUGGGGAGCUGUCAGCCCCACGUGAACCUGGAGGAACAGUUCCAGGGGAAGGCCCUCGCCCUUCCGCUUGGUCCAGCCAAGCCCCGUAGGCUCCUAGGUCCAGCCUGUGGACCCUCACUGCAGCCUGCUGGUGAGUCUGGGGAUCCCACAAGCUAUACAAGAGUCUGAAGUGGGGACUCUGGAGCCAGAACCCUAGAGUUCAAAACCUGACACUGCACUUCUAGCUCUGCAACUUUCAAUAAAUUCCUUAACCUCUCUG